UGUUCUCAUAUCUUCUUCUUCUUUCCUUAGCAACAAAGUGCAGCUCUAUUAUUUAAGUCAGAGAAAGUAAAUCGGGUUAAAAUUCAUUUUAUGAUUUCAGUUUUGAGUAGAUUAGACAAAGAGAGUACCGAUUUCAUCACAUCCUAAUAGAUAAUUCUAAAUCUAUUCAAAAUUUGGAAUAGUUCCAAGAUUCUCAAAUAUGGAAAGAAAUUAAUUGAGGAUUGCUUUUCUGAUAAAGUGAGCGAAUGAUUUCUACAAUUCUGAGGUGAUGACCCUAUGAUGAUUCACCGAAUAUGAUGUCCUGCAAAUAUUAGAUUAUGGGAUAGAUAAAUGACUUCCAAAUCAUGUCAACAUAAAUAAUGUAUUCACAUCUAAAACCCAAGCUGCAAUUAGAAAGCUAAGUACAUUUUAACUUCACACUAAUAUGUCAUCAAUAAGUUAGUGUAUUCAUAAUUUUAAUGACUAUUGCUUAACUUUGCAGGUUACUUUUAUUUCUAUGCAAGAGAUAAUAUAAGUAUCAGUAAUAGUACAUCAAAUGGAAAGGAAAAGAUGGUGCAAGCUCAUAAAUGUAACAAACUACUUGUGCCAACAACAACUGUUUUCAGUUCUAUACAUAUUCAGAUGUAAACAAUUCAUCGAAUAGGAAAUCAAGUGCAAGAACAAAGAUGUUAAAGCGAUUGAGGGUUGCUUUCAACAUGAAAUCAUCGAUUGAUUUAGGCUUGUAGGCCAAUCAAGGGUAACUGAAAUUAUUUUAUGUUCAAGAGAAUCAACUGUAACGGGGUUAUAAGGUUGUUUUUCUUCCAAGUAGCUCUAAGUGUGGGUCGAUUCUUAUGGUUGUUAUGGCUCUUUCCACGCAAACCUCUGUUCUUCUUUACUUGUGAUGCGAGACCUCUAACCUCAUGAUGCUUGUGAACAUGGUUAUCCAGUUGAUUCUCAUUUCGUUACAGACUGCGUUAUGACCCGGAAAAGGAAAAUAAGGUGAGGGAAAAAAAUAGAAGUGUUAU